GCUCCAGCCUGGAUACAGGCCACUGACAGCCCAAAAGCAGCCCAAGGAGCAGCUGGCGUGUCCUGGUGAUGGUGGCACGGGCUGCGUGCAGAGGGGCUCAGACAGCAAUUCCUGGUUCCAGCCUCCCAGAGCUCCCAGGCAGCUGCCAGCUAUUAAAUGCCAACCGACAGCCUGCAGAGAUGCCUUCAAAUCAAAGGUUCAGGUGGGAUGAAGUUUUGUUUGCACGAAGGUGGGAGUUUCCAGGGAGCCAGCUGGAAGUGCAGAAGGGAUGGAAAGCUUUCCCAGGUGCUGGACUUGCCUCUGUGGAUGUGUGCUGAGCUCUCACUACAGGG